CGUAAUCACUUGUCUUUUAAAUAAAGACCAGUAUGAAUGGCUAAAUGAGGGCGGACCUGUCUCCUGUGCCCAAUCAGUGAAAUUGAUCUCCUGGUACAAAAGCCAGAAUAAUAACAUAAGACGAGAAGACCCUGUGGAGCUUAAAAUUCAUAACUACUUAAAAACUAGUAUCAAUUUUAAGUUGGGGCGACUUCGGAACAAAACAAAACUUCCGAGCAAGGAACAAACCACUUCCUAACAAGGCUCACAAGCCAAUUCAGCCGACCCAGUCACACUGAUCAACGAACCAAGUUACCCCAGGGAUAACAGCGCAAUCCCCUCCAAGAGUCCAUAUCGACAAGGGGGUUUACGACCUCGAUGUUGGAUCAGGACAUCCUAAUGGUGCAACCGCUAUUAAUGGUUCGUUUGUUCAACGAUUAACAGUCCUACGUGAUC
rnacentral:rRNA from 1 species